rnacentral:rRNA from 1 species
UACUUCCGUAGGUGUUCCUGCGGAGGGAUCAUUGCCGAGUUUACAACUCCCAAACCCCUGUGAACAUACCACUUGUUGCCUCGGCGGAUCAGCCCGCUCCCGGUAAAACGGGACGGCCCGCCAGAGGACCCCUAAACUCUGUUUCUAUAUGUAACUUCUGAGUAAAACCAUAAAUAAAUCAAAACUUUCAACAACGGAUCUCUUGGUUCUGGCAUCGAUGAAGAACGCAGCAAAAUGCGAUAAGUAAUGUGAAUUGCAGAAUUCAGUGAAUCAUCGAAUCUUUGAACGCACAUUGCGCCCGCCAGUAUUCUGGCGGGCAUGCCUGUUCGAGCGUCAUUUCAACCCUCAAGCACAGCUUGGUGUUGGGACUCGCGUUAAUUCGCGUUCCUCAAAUUGAUUGGCGGUCACGUCGAGCUUCCAUAGCGUAGUAGUAAAACCCUCGUUACUGGUAAUCGUCGCGGCCACGCCGUUAAACCCCAACUUCNGAAUGUGACCUCGGAUUCANGGUAGNAUNACCNGU